UACAGAGGCCCAUAGCGUUGUUCGGAUUUACUGGGCGUAAAGGGCACGUAGGCGGCAGGGCGUGUCAAGUGUGAAAUCUCCGAGCCCAACCCGGAAAGUGCGCUUGAAACUACCCUGCUCGGGGCCGGGAGAGGGAGUCGGAAUACAGGGUGUAGCGGUGAAAUGCGUUGAUAUCCUGUAGAACACCGGAGGCGAAGGCGGAUUCCUGGAACGUUCUGACGCUGAGGCGCGAAAGUCGGGGGAGCAAACA
rnacentral:rRNA from 1 species